CCGAAGUUAAAAAUAAAUUAGAAAAGAAGAUUAAAAGACUCAGGUCCGAUAGAGGUGAAGAGUAUUACUUUGGACCUCUUAGUAAAUAUUGCGAAGAACAAGGAAUUAUACAUGAGAUAACACCUCCCUAUUCUCCAGAAUCUAAUGGGGUUGCUGAAAGAAAGAAUGGAACACUAAAAGAAAUGAUGAAUGCUAUGUUAGUAAGUUCUGGGGCUCCACCAAAUUUGUGGGGGUAAGCUCUUCAUUCUGCUUGCCACCUGCAAAAUAGAAUCAUUUAUAAGAAAACUGGAAAAAUACCUUAUGAGCUUUGGGAAAAUCAUUUACCUAACUUGAAAUACCUUAAAGUGUGGGAGUGUUUUGGUAAGGUAAUGUUACCCAACCCUAAAAAAAAGGAAAAUUAGUUCUAAAACUGCUGAUUGUUUGUUUAUUGGUUAUGUUGAACAUAGUGCUACUUACAGAUUUCUUGUUUUGAAAAGUGAUGUAUUAGAUCAUAAUACAAUCAUUGAGUCAAAAAAUGCUAAUUUUUUUGAAAAUAUUUUUCCUUUGAAAUCUAAAGUGGAUCGACUAGUAGUAGAGCUUCCUACGAGCUCUUAUAUAGUUCCAAUUCAGGAAUCUGACUUUGGGAGAUGACUUUUUUACAUUUUUGUUAGAUAAUGACCCAUUAACCUUUAAAGAUGCAGUUUCUUCUCCCGAUGCUCCUUUUUGGAGAGAACCAUAAAUAGUGAGAUUGAGUCUAUUAUGGCUAAUCACACUUGGGAGUUAGUGGACCUUCCUCCUGGUUCUAAAACUAUUGGUUAUAAAUGGAUUUUUAAAAGGAAAUUAAAACCUGACGGAUCAAUUGAUAAAUUUAAGGCUAGGCUUGUUGCUAAAGGUUAUAAACAAAAGCAAAACCUAGACUUUUUUGAGACUUAUUCACCGGUUACAAGAACAUCAUCCAUUAGAGUUUCAAUUGCUCUAUCCGCUAUUAAAAAUUUAAUAAUUGAUCAAAUGAAAGUUAAGACUGCGUUUCUUAAUGGAGAUUUAUAAGAGGAGAUUUAUAUGGACCAACCUGAGGGAUUUAUUUCCUUAGGCAAUGAACAUAAAGUUUUUAAAUUAAUUAAAUCUUUAUAUGGUCUUAAACAAGCUCCUAAACAAUGGAAUGAUAAAUUUGAUAGUGUAAUGACUUCUCAUGGAUAUAUAAUAAAUGAUAGAGAUAGAUGUAUAUAUACCAAAUUUAAUAAUGAGAAUUGUGGUGUUAUUGUGUGUCUUUAUGUGGAUGACUUGCUUAUUUUUGGAACCAAUAUUUAUGUUAUAUAUGAGACUAAAAAUAUGUUAUCAACUAAAUUUUAUAUGAAAGACUUAGGAGAAGCAAAUGUUAUUCUUGGAAUUAAUUUGAGAAAAGUUUGUAAUGGAUAUAUGAUUUCUCAAGAUCAUUAUGUGGAGAAAAUGCUUAAGAGAUUUGGACAUUAUAAUGUUAAUCCUGUUAGUACUCCGUAUGAUUCUUGUUUACAUUUAAAAAAACAUGAGGGACCUAGUGUAUCUCAAUCUGAGUAUGCCCAAAUCAUAGGUUGCUUAAUGUAUCUUACUAAUUGCACAAGACCUGAUAUAUCAUAUGCAGUUAAUAGACUCAGCAGAUACACUCAUAAUCAUAAUAAGGAUCAUUGGACUGCUUUAUGUAGAAUACUCAAGUAUCUGCGAGGUACUAUUGAAUUUGGUUUGUAUUACUGCAGUAAUCUAGCAGUUCUUGAAGGCUAUAAUGAUGCCAACUGGAUCUCUGAUUCAGAUGAAAUCAAAUCCACGAGUGGCUACAUAUUUACCUUAGGAGAAGGAGCAGUUUCUUGGAAGUCUACUAAAUAUACUUGUAUAGCUCGCUCUACUAUGGAGUCUUAGUUUAUUGCCUUAAAGAAGGUAGGUUCUGAAGCAGAGUGGCUCAAAAAUCUUUUGGGAAAUAUUCCUUUGUGGACAAGACCAGUUCCAUCUGUGUCUCUACAUUGUGAUUGCCAAGUUUCUAUAGGCAUAGCUAAGAAUAAGAGCUAUAAUGGCAAGAGUAGGCAUAUAUGCCUAAGACAUAAUAUUGUGAGACAACUGUUAUGUGACGGGAUUAUAUCCCUUAAUUUUGUUAGGUCAUAGUUAAAUCUUGCGGAUUCUCUGACAAAGCCACUAAGCAAGAGGCUAGUGAGCAAUACAUCGAGGGGAAUGGGAUUACUGUCUAUUACAAAAACCAACAGUGAUGGUAACCCAACCUAUAUGAAUGGUAAUCCCAGGAAGUAGGUUUAUAUGGGUAACAACAAAUCAUUGGUUGAUUGGUUGAGACACUAUCCAUUUUAUACAUAUUUGAGUUCAUCCCUAUGGUGUAGGAUAGUGUAAUUCUACAGUGUUAGAGGUUGAGUUAUAUACUAUUGAUGUUUUCCAUACUCCUGUUGGGUGAUGUUUUUAACUGUAGAACACAUUUGAUGGAAACACCUAUAUGAGUGUAGAUGUGGGCCGCCUCUUAUGAAAACAAGACAAGUUUUCUAAAGCGCUCAUGAAUUCUAGGUAUGAAGCAAGGCCAAAAUGUACCAAAUCGCGUAGAACAACUUCUAUGAAAGUUUCCUGUGAAUCAAGUCUUAUUUUCUCUAUACAUUGGUUCAUAGUCCAAAAGACACCAGUGUUAACACACUGCAUUCUUAUAUUUCUUACUCGUCAACUUAUUUUAUUUUUACUUUGUAAUAUGUGGGAAUUGUUGUAUUUUAUGUUAAAUAAAUUAUUACAAAGUUAAAUAAUAUAUAAAUAUUAAUUUAUUAAUGGAGAUUUUGGAUUUUGUAACUGUUCAAAAUAUGAAAAUUUUAUAACUGUUCAAUAUAUAUAUUAAUUUCUUUGCCGUUGAUGGUGAUGUUAUCGUUGUUAUUCCUACCGUUGCCAUCUUUUCCUUUUAUAAAUAAGGUUAGACUCUCUUAGGUUGUGAUAUCCAUUCUACAGGAAAGUAUCCUUAUAUAUUAUAUACAUAUUCUAAACAUACUACUAUCAUAAGUUGUUAACUUGUUAUCUUUCACCAUCAAAGUCAAGUUCUGUCACUGUUGUAUGCUAUCAUAAAGCUUAAUUACUUAAAGUUGUUGUCUCAUACACAGAUAUAUACCGAGCAAUUCUUUAUAUGUAUAUAUAUAUAACAGUGAGUUUAUAUAUAUAUAUAUAUAUAUAUAUAUAUAUUAUAUUUACUCGGUACAAUUAUUUAAAUUUGAGUAAAGAAAAUUAGAAGUUGUUCCUGGGUCAUUCAACUAUUUCAAAUGCUGAUUAGUUAGGUGAAGAGCUAUUAAAUCUUGGCGUAGGAUUUCGUCAGUGACCUUAGCACCGAGAAAAGUUCUCCGAGGGGCGAAAUUUCUACUUAAGGACAGUGCACUGCACGCCUCUGCACAAGAUUAUUCACUAUAAAUCGUUAACUUAUAUUCUUUAGCCUCACUUUAUUUAUAUUUGAAUCCUAUAUUUUAUUUGUGGUUUCCUACAUAUAUUAACUCAAAAUGGCAUUAAGAAUUCUAGAUAGGACUUUAUAGCCUCUGUUGCAUGCUAAUUGAUUCUCUUUUUCUCAGUCACAUAGACAUUAGUUAAAAUCCUAAUGCACUAGCUGCCAGCAUAAAGGAAGAAGAUUCCUACCCAAAAUAAAAGAUAUAUGCACACAUUUCUUCUCACAAUUUUGAUAAUGAAGCAGCAAGAAGAGACACAAACGAGGAAUAACAUCCAACUGCUUGCUUACGAGAUAUAUCCAACUGUAAAAACUAGUGUAAAUAACUUGUCGACAAACAAAUCAAUCUAUCUAGAAAAAAACAGGACAACAUUCCAAUUGGAAAAUCAGCAAAAACAACAAAAUCCAUUAGUCGCAAUCUUUUGCAGACUAAUGGAUUAUGCCUACCCCAUGUGGGUCUUGUGCCUAGUGCAUUCCAAGGACAUCUCAAUCUGUACCGUUCUUCAUUCCAAGGGAUUCUCCAUCAUAAUUCCUAGUUCAUACUAUUUUCAACUCUCCGAAUCCUUGUAACCACCCUGAGUUCACCUUCCUACCCAUACCAAAUAACCUAUUUAAUACCAAUUCCUCCCCAGAAAUUAACCUUAUAGAUCUAACAAAGACUAUUAACAAUAACUGUGAAGCACCGCUGAGGAGAAGCUUGGCUCAUAUAAUGAAUCUAAAGGAUCAAGUUUUAUCUAUCAUUUAUGAUAUGAUCAUGUACUUUUCUGCUGCAAUACGUGGCUAAUCAUUUGAAGAUCUCAUGCAUGAUUUGAUGUACCAGUGGUGCUUCUGCUGCUGUAGCUUAUGAUUCCCUUCCUUGGCUUCAUGCACAAGGUUAACUUCCUCUGUAAGGUAUGUCUUCUAACAAAAAAUUGAUUUCUUUUAAUAGGGAAACUAAUAAAAAAAACUUGUAACCCAAAAAAGUCUGAUUUGCGAAGAUGAUUUACUACAAAUACUUGAAGAAAAUGAUUAUUUUUAUAGUUCCCUAAUGUAAUAGAAAUUAUUUAUGGCUAAGUAAUCUAAGUUUCUUUAGACUAGUCUUAUCCCUUGCAUUAAACAUCAGUCCACAAGACUUAUGUUAACUUAUGAUUUAAUGGAGUCUUUCUUUGAACAUUCAUUAUACCAAAACUCUUUUUUGAUCAACAUUAUACUGAGACUCUAAAUGAUUGUUUUGUAGUUAUAUGCAUUAAACCCUAACACUAACAAGAUUUAUGAUAGAUUCUUAAUCUUUUGAAGAAAAAUAAGAAAAUAACUUUUGUUUUAUGAUAUAUCUCCGGCAACAACAAUUGUAGUAUAAUGAUAAAGAUGCUUGAAACUUAAAAGAGGUGUUAAUCUAUUUAUAUUAUAUUACACAGAUUUGAAGUUGCAGGAUCUAGUUCCCGGGCUUCAUCCCCUCAGAUUUAAGGAUGUAUCAACUUGUGAUAUAGAAAAGAUAGAAGAAGUACUACAAAUUAAGGAGAUUACAAGAGAUACAAGAACUUCCUUAGUCAUGAUGAUCUGGGACACUAUCAAUCUUUCUCAGCCAUUAUCCGGAACACUAUCAAUCAUCUUGAGGAAAAAACAUUGGUACAGUACUAGUUAACAAAACUAUCCUAUUAUCUUUUUUCAGUAGGUCUUAUGUACAAAAUGGCUUCAACCUAGUCUACCUGCUUUCUCGAAGCAGAAAAUAAUUGUAUUACAUGGCUUGACAAGCAAACUACUCAUUUGGUCAUUUACGUAAGCAUUGGGAGCUUAACAAUCAUGGAAGAAAAAGAGCUAUCUGAAAUAGCUUGGGGCUUGGCCAAUAGUGGCCAACCAUUCUUGUGGUAAUUAGGUCGGGCUCAGUUUGUGACUUAGAAUGGAUUAAGCUUUUUCCAUAUGGAUUUAAAGAAACAUUGGAGACACUGUUGGUGUCUUGUUUGAUCAAAUAAACUGCACAAGAAAUAACUUUUGGCCAAAAAUGGCGUGGCAACUUUUUCCUUUUAAGCAUGCACUAAACCAUGUCCAUGAUUGUAAGAUUUUUCCUUUCGCACACCAUUUUGUUGAAUGGGGUCCCCAAAAGGAGGUUCUGGGCCAUGAUGCAGUGUGAGGGUUUUGGAGCCAUUGUGGUUGGAAUUCGACUUUGGAAACUAUUAGUAAAGGGGUUCCAAUGAUAUGCAGACCAUGUUUUGCGGACUAAAACAUUAAUGUUAGAUAUUUGAGUGAGGUUUGGAAGGUAGGUUUGCCAUUGGAGCAUGAGUUGGAGAGAGGGGUGAUCGAAAGAACUAUAUGGAUACUCAUGGUGGACAAGGAAGGAGGGGAAAUAAGGCGGAACACAACUGAUACGAAUGAAAAAAUCAGGCUAAGUCUGAGUAAAUGGGGUUCUUCAUAUAACUCACUAAAUGAUUUAACAUACCUUGUUUUGUCAUUCUAAUUACCUAACUGGCUUAAUCAUCAUCAUCAUUCAAGGUUUCUGAUAAAUAUUUGAAGUUGUUGGCCCCUAUUAAUAUUGCAUUUUUCAUAUGGUGUGGGCAUAUGCAAAACAAAGAAAAAUUAAAAUAUUUUAGAUUUUCUUUGGUAAAUUUAAUUUUCAACAAACAUAAUGUAAGCGGACCUAAAUGUCAGUUCACACUUCAUAUAUAUCUGCGUGAUCUGAUGGACAAAAAUUCAUGCUUGAAAUUUAUAUUUUUUGUAUUGAAAGGUUGUUGUUUUUUUACUAUUAGAGUAAGGUGUGUUCCACAUUAAAUUAUUUGUGCUCAUUUACUAUGGAGAUGGGCAAUGCAAAUUUUUGAUGGUAUUUUGAUUAAUUGAUCUUUUAAAAUAACAUUAGCAAUACUUCAUAUAGCACCAAUUACUUGUACCUUUUUUACUUAUGUACCAAGGGAUAGUAUCCGGAGAUAAUAUUUUUUGAGGCCUAUACCAUAGAUAGUAUUCUAAGUAGUUAUAUUUAUACAUAUGAGGACCCUUCAAUACCUCCAAAAAUUAGUCAUCAGAUGAAUAUGCACUACAAAAAUAGUCAUAUGAACUUGAGUAGCCUUGCUAAGGAAGAUUGAUAUUGGAUUGAUGAAGCUGUAUACAUCAAAACCUUUUUUGCGCUUUAUGUCCCACAUCGAUUAUUAGUCGAAGCAGAUGUCAGAAACUGCAGUUUAAAAUAGGCAAUUGAUAUACAAAGAAGGUAUCUUUGCGGUUGGGGCAAUGACGCAACUAGUGAGGUACUAACCGAGGCGCGUCAAUUGCUGGUUGAAAACUAUUUCCAAACCCCCUCUUUGGCCUUGGUGAACGCCUUUUCCAUCGAGAAUUUUUGGAAUGAACUCCCUCUAAAAGUGGGUAAAGGUCCUACAAUUCCUAGUUCCCUAAGUUUAGUUUCUCACCAUUUAUCAGAAUAUGGCUUGUAUUAAGACAAGUACCCAAAAUGAAAACAUGCUAAUAAUGUUUUUUUUAAAGAUAGGUUUAUGUAAUAUAGUGAAUGCAUAACAAGAGAUACAACUAACUCCAUUAGUGUGUAUAUAUAUACCCCCUAUGAAAGAUUAUUAGGCAAUGUUUGUUAGGUAAGCUGAAUGGAUCAUAAUUCUUGCAACAAAUAUCGAUUAUGGAAAAAAUAUAUUGUAUCAUAAGAGUAUAAAUAAGGACAUAGAGGCUGCAUUUAAACAUACUUACUUGGAUGGGGUCAAUGGGAGAUUAAGAAGACUAAUGGCCUAGGUUAGUGACCUCCAUUUCACUUUGGAAAGGUGCUCGCCUAAGUUAGGUCUACCCCUCACGUAGGUUAGGUCUACCUAAGUGGUGAAGCCUACAUCAUAAUUUGUGAGAGUGGUCGUGCGACUUCUAACCAACCCAAUUUUUAAUACUAUAGCACGAACACGAUUCAUAAAUGAGUAUCAAUUUUUAAUCUUUUAUUUGUUAAAUUAGGGACGGUAAUUUUUGACACAAUAACACUAAUAUGCGCAAUUUAUGUGUUAUAAACAUGUGUAUACGAGUUUCGACACGACACGAAUUCAUUUAACACAACAUGAUCAUCACCCUUAUUAUAAACUAUUUAGAGAGACAUUUAUUUACACGAAACCCUAAAUGAAUAGGAAUAAGACUUUUCCUCUCUAGAACAGUGUUAGACUUUUAGUCAUGUGCAGGACCUUCUUAUUAGAGAGGUUUUGAACCCAAUAUUUUGCCCCAACCUAGGUUAGGUGUUAGGGAAUCGUUAGACCGCAACUUGCUGCUAAAAAAUGUAAUAGGCUAGCAUGUUAAUCAGGAAUUCGUAUUAAUGGGUUGCAUAUAUACAGAAUAUAUACCCAAUUCUAAUCUGUCAAUUUCAUGGAUCGAUGUACUUAUUCUUCUUAAAUGUAACUUAAAGCUCUUUUGAGGGUAUUGAUUUUCUUUGGGUUUCUAAAAUUGUAAGUUGUAUUGCUCUCUAGUAUAAGUCGGUCAACUUUGUACACACUAGUAUUUUGUUUUUUUAUUUUUUGGGUAGUUUUAUUAUGGGGGUAUUUGAUGAAUGAGUAAUAUACCCAUGAAUUGGAUACAUCCGGGCUUAAUUUUUUGUUGUUCUCAAGUCUUUUAGAAUAUUUUUUAAGUGUUAGUGUCUAUUCAUGCAUGUUUUAUGUUGUUUUGUAGGAAUUGGGAGAAAAGUUACUUGGAUCGACGUUUGGGGUGGCUAGAUUCGCGUUUUCGGCUUGCCAUUUACAUAGCAUCCACUUCAAAGCUAAUUUUAUUAUUAUUAUUAUUAUUGUUUUAGUUAUGUACAUAACAGAUCUAAGGAAAGGGGAUCUGUUUUAAUUUUGGGGAAAUGAUUUGUUUAGUUAUAAAUAUUAAUCCUUGCAAAAAUAUAACAGUUAGGCUUGUUGUCUCAAGCGGUAAUGUAUUCAAGUUUUAAGCUAGAGGUCUCGUGUUCGAAUCUUGGCAGCAACACUAUUUUUGGGAUUAAGUUCAAUAGAAAUCCACGUCAGCCCGUCCACAUGUAAAAUAAAAUAAAAAAUAUCCACGUCAGAUCUGCCACGUGUGCCAUAUAGGCGCCACGUAUGCAGGUCAACGCACAUGUGGCGCCCAAGGCUCGAAGUCCAAAUUUUUUAAUAGAAAGGGGCUCAAUUUGCGUUGACCAAAAGAAAAGAGCUGAAUACCCAAAAACCCCUAAAGUUCAGUGGUCGACUUUGUAUUUUACCCGACAAAAAAUAGUGAGAGAACCCAAGUUAUAUUUAAUACUUGAGGUAAUAUUAUAAACUAAGAAAUUAAUGCUUAUUUGAAAUUCUCAAACGACAUAUAUUAACAGACAAAAAUACUUAUCUAAAGUGAUUUAUAUUAAGAGACGGAGAGAGUAAUAUACACACCCACAGACUCACACACUUACUGAUAAUUAUAUACAUAUAGAAUCACAAGUUUAUUUUUCUGUUUGUUACAAACUUAAUUACAGAGUAUUUGUGUUCUAAAAAUUUAUAUCUAAUUUUGAUUAAUUCCCAUCUAGAUAUUAGGUGGUAAUUUACCCGUCUCGAUUUGGCUAGACGCCUAGGCCAUACUUAGGCAAAAAUCAAAUCUCUACUUUGAAACUUCACUAUAACUUAAAUGAAUUUGUUAAGCAUUAUUUUUUUUGUAUUAUUUUAUAUAAAAUUAAAAAAAAAUUAAAUAUACUUUAUGUUUUUUAUAAUAUAUUAAGUUUAUAAUAGAAAAAUAAAUAAAUGAGAGCGUCUAGGAAAAUACCUAGCCUGCUUAGAAAAAUGCUUAUUCGCUACCUUUGUCUAAUGAUUUUAAGAACACUAAAGAGUACAAUUUUUUUAGUAAUCAUAUAAUUAAUAUUAUAUAAUAAAAGACUUUAUAUGUUUCUUAGUUAUUUCAAAAAUAUAAUAGGAGUUUCUUUUCAUUAGAGAGAAGGUUGAUGAAAAACAUUCUCUUGGAGAAUGUUAAUACAGUAGUGAACGACGCAGACUUCUUAACUAAAGUAGUUAGUUUGACAAAAUUUGAGUGGUGUACACUGAGGUGAGUAUCAAAAAGUAUUCAUCAAGUGGGAGAAUGUUGGGAUUGGUGUUAUAAUUUGAGCAAAAAUUGAAAUGGGUUUCCUUAAUCAUUUGAAAUGAAUUCAUAUAUCAAUGUGUUCUACUCCAUGAGUAGAUUAAUAUUAAAUAUUUAGAAGCUCAAAUCCAUGGAGUAAUGAAUGAGAAAUUAACUCCCAAAUAUCACCCUUGAAAAUGAUAAUAAAUAUAUGUGGGAAGCUAAGUCCCACAUCGGUUAAGAACUAAAUAUUAAAUGAGUUUAUACACAAUAAAGUUGCUAUUGAAUUUGGGCCUCAAGGGAUAUACCCCACUUUUGUGGAAGGGAGAGGACAUAUGUAAAGCUUGUUUAAAACUAACACGUGUGUCGUCGACGAACGGGCUAGGGGGUCCUUGUAUAUAAAUUUUGUUUAUUUUAUUUAGUUCCAUUAUCAAAAUUGUAUCAUUUUGAUAAAUGUUAUUUAUUAUCAAAUUUAUGUCGUUUUAGGAAGUGAUAUUUGCCAAAUGGACCUGUCAAUACUAUGCUGAAUGGACGCGUCAAUACUGCGUCGUUUUGGGAAGCGCUAUCUGCAUGAACAAACGCCUAAAAUACGUCAUUUUUUGCCUGAACGGACGCGCCCUUUUCUCGUUUUUGUUCCGCUAAGCCUAAAACUACGCGUUUUUGGCUAGAACGGACACGCCCUUUCUGUUAAAGCAUAAAACUAUGUCGUUUUGGCUAAAUUGUGCCUUUUCAAUGGAUUGUCUGCUAUAAAUAGACUAGGGGAGUAGCCAAUUUGAUCAUUCAAUUCACAAGCAUUUUUAUUCUUAUAGUAUUCAUUAUUCAUAGUUCAUUUAGAGAGUUUUGAGCAUUAUAUUUGGUUCGUUGAGUAUACUAUUUGGAUUGCUACUAUAAAAUACAUUGUCAUUGUAUCACGGGAGACAAGUGUUAUUAACUCUAAGCACUAUAAGGAUGGCAUAAUUAUCUUAAAGAUAUGGCAAAAAACACCUUUACCUCCCUAUGUAAGCAAUUGGUCACUGAACUUUAAAAAUAUGCAAUUGGACCACUGUGCUUUCUAAAAACGAAAAUUCAGGCCAUUCCGUCCAAUUUCUUGGACGGACGUCAAAUAUUUUCAGACGUGACAUUGAAAAAAAAAAAUCAAAAAAUCAUUAUUUUCUUAUGUGGCAACACAAAAAAAAUAAUAAAAUAAAAUCAUUAAUUAUGUGGCAAAAAAUGAUUGGCAAAAAGUACCUUUACCCCACUGUGUUCGUCGACUUGUAAGCAUUGAGUCACUAUAAUUUUAAAAAAGUAAUUGACCAACUAAAGUUUUUAAAAAAAUUUAAUUAGGUCAUUCAUUGGACGGACACCAAAUAUUUUCAGACGUGGCGUUGAAAAAAAAAAUUCAAAAAAUCAUUAUUUUUUUAUGUGGCAACACAAAAAAAAAAUAAUAAAAUCAUUUAUUAUGUGGAAAAAAAUGAUUAAAAUAAAAAUAGAAUUAAAAUAAAUAUUUUAAUUCAUUUUAUUUAUAAUUUUUUCUUUUCCUUUAUCAAUGAAAUCAUUAAAUUUAGGCUUAAACAUAAAACAAACAUACUAUUAAAAAUAUUAAAAUCUAUUAAUAACUAAACAUAAAAAUAAAAAAUAAAACAAAAUAAAAUAAAAUAAAAAACAGAACCAAAUCAAAAUCAAAACAAGAGUGAAGAGUGGUGGUUUUCUGCACUUCUUAUGUGGAUUUAUUGGGUUUAUAUUAUAUUAAAUUAACUAAAUAAAUUCGAUUAUAUAACAGUCAAUCAAAGCACCUUGGUGCCUGACAGUUCUGUUUGGAGAAAAAAUCAAUUGCAAUCAAAUCAUCCAUGCUAACCAUUUACGAAGUUGUUUCCUUGUUUGGAGAGAAGGAAUGGCUUUGCACGUCGGGAAUUUUCUUCGUCUCUCACAAGUAGAUAAAGAAUGCACUCAAACAGCUGAUAUACGAGCCUAAGGGAGUCGCCAUUUUGCAGUUCCAACACUGCAAUCAAGUGUUGUAACGCAAACUCGAUUGGAAUGUCCUUAGGCAAAUUGCAGCGGCAGAGUGGACAAGUGUUGUCUCCGUCGGCCGAAACAUAAUAAUAUAACUCACCAGAGCAAAUGGCACAAAUAUUUGGAAUUAAAACAAGAGAGUUAUGACAUUUGACCCUUCUAGUAUGUGCACGGGUCGGGUUGACCCGACGGAAGGAAGAAGAUGAGCCACCUCAGCAUCUACAUGUCAUUUCUUUUAUUUUUAUUUUACUUUUGAACUGCCACAUGUGUAAUAAAUAGACGUCCGUCCAAGAAAUUGGACGGAAUGACCUGGAUUUUCAUUUUUAGAAAUCAUAGUGGUCCAAUUGUAUAUUUUUAAAGUCCAGUGGCCAAUUGCUUACAAGUCGACGACCACAAGUAAAGGUGUUUUUGCCUUAAAGAUAUAGUACCAAGUACUAGCUAAAAUUCACUUCUGCAAUUUUGAGAUUCAUGUUAUAGUAGCUAGAGUUUCUAGUACUACAAAAAUAUUGUUUCAUGUGUGGAUCAUUGUAAGGUGUGUAAGGCAUAUAAAAAAUAUAUUAAACAAGCAACCAAAUUGGUGAACCUAAGUAUAUUGCAUGUUCUUACUUUUCCAUCUUCCAUAUAAUAUUUGUGUGGUUGCAAUAUUAUUCGUUCUUAAAUUCUAACAGAUUUUUAUUAAUUAGCAAAAAAAGUUGGAGAAAGAGGUUGUAUAGUGCAAAAGGAGGUGUUGACACAUGGUGUUGUAGGAGGUAGGCUUUUGGAGCCAUUACGGGCGGUUGAAAUUAAUUCAACCUUGGAGAAUAUUUGUGAAGGGGAUGCAAGCCACAUUUUUUAGACCAAAAGGUUAAUGCAUGUUUUGUUAUGUAUGGUAUGGAGAAUAAUGUGUUGGGGAGAUGAGAUCAGAGGGGAUAUUGAGAGAACCAUAAGAAGACUUUUGGUGGCACAAAGAUGGGGAAGAACUGAGGCAGAGAGAGAGAGAGCGUUUGACAUGAAGCAAACGGUUAAUUAAUGUUUGCAUAUGUGAAGGAAGGUGGUUCUUCCUAUAGUUCCUUGAAUCACAUGACAUACUUGAUUCUUUUGAUCAUUAACAAAUACAUACUAGAAUAUACUACUUUUACAAUGUUAAAUACUCUAUAAAUUGGAUAAUAUCUGCAACGCCCCCAAAAUCGGGACCAACUUAAUCCAAAAUCGGGACUAACUUAAUCUCGACUUUGUGCAUUAGCAACAAUCUUGUUUUAGCUUUAAAACAUUAUUUCAUGUUAAAAUAGUUAAAAUUGCGGAUUUUUUUUACCACUCUAUUCAUUCAUUCAUUCGUUCGUUCCCUGAAUCGCAACCUUUACGAUUCUUCUUUAAACUGAAAUUAUAUUCAUUUUAUGAUUUACUUAAUCUGAGUAAAUGUAUUAAGACCUUUCAAGUCUCAAUACUAAAUAUCUUUCUUAUUUAGUAAUGUAAUUAUAUCACUUUAUUUUUAUAAAGUAUUCAUUACAAUACAUCCAGAAUAAAUAUUCUUUAUUGAAUAUUUUAAAUUAUACAAUUAAUCAUAGCUUUAUACAAUUUCUAAUUCAAGAAAAUAUAUUCAUUUCGCACAUCAUUCAUCCUUCAUCACACGUAUAGCAAAUAAUAUUAACGUCAUUAACCUGCAAAAAGUUUGUGUUUCCAAGACUGAGCUCGACAGCUAAACAAAUUUAACAGUCUAUCAUGUUUCACAUAGCACACAACUUUAUAUACACCACAUGCAACAUACUUUCUUUGAUAUGCAUAUCCUACAUGCAUCAAUAAUUCAGUGCAAGGCAUAUAUUCAUGCCUUAUACAUUCCCAAUUAUCGCGUUACAUCAUACAACAUGUGUUAUCACAUAUCACAUAUAAAUUGAGUUCCAUACCCAAUUAACUUAGUCAUAUUUUGACUUUAACAAUUCAUAGAGCAUGAUAUGUAAUUUAGCACAUAACCACAUCCAAUCCACAAACAUAACAGAACUGAAAAACUUGCCUUGAAUGGAGAUUACCGCUAAAAUUUAACUUAGAGUUUCUCCACAAUUCCUACAGAAUUAUAUUUACAUACACACAUAUUAAAUAAUUAAAUAUGUUACAAAACAUACCUGUAUAUUCAUCAUUAAUAAUUACUAGUUUAUAAAAACCAUUAUUAUUUACUCUUACUCCAAAACCAAUAUUGGUUUAAUGAGACUCAAUUCAUUUUAAUCUUUCAAUGCCAAAUAAGGCAUUUCACACUUUUAAUGUGUAAAUAUUUUACAUCUAAAGCUUAAAUCAUUUAUAUUCCACUUUAGGAAUAUUGUAUGCUCUUACUUGCUAAUUCGGGACUUAAACAACUAAUAUAUAGCUUUUAUAGUAAAACUCAAUUUACUAUAUUAUUAUUUCUUUAAUAUAAAUAUUUCUUAUAUUAUUUUGUCCACUCAAGAGUCAACUCGGACCAUUGUCUCAUUUAUAAUCAUUCUAUCCCGCUAACACACUUACUGCAUUUUUCAUUUUGUAAAUAUUCACAAUUUCACUAUAUAUAUAUUUAUAUAUUAAAUAUGUAUAAAUCUCGUCUCAAAAACUCUAUUUUGAUCCCCGCAAAUCUUCAUUACAUCACUUUUAUGCUUAUUACAACUUUUUAAUGGUUCCAUACUUUUCGUUUUGUUAUAAAACCAUUUUUAUGUCAAUUCCGGCUUACAUUCGCUUAAAUAUGCAAAUUCAUAUUUAUAUAUUAUUUUUAUUGCAUUAUUUAUGCCCGAAAGGAAGUUUCAUGACAUAAAUUAGAUCUAAUAUUGUCUAAAAUUUAGCCCAAACACACUUUGGAACGACGAAUGUCAAAACAGCCCACCAUGACUACAUUCGGCGUAGCCCAAAUUGUAGUUCUGACAUGCCUGUUUGCCUAUUUUUAAUUCUCAACGCAUAAGUCAUAUAACAACGAAUUUUUGGUAUGUUAUAGACAUCAUGGCAUAGUAUUUUUAAAAAAAAUCUAACCACGCAAACAAAUCAAGGAAAAUACUCAAAACAGACCCUACAAAUCAUGCCGCGUAAUAGCACUGAAGCGCCAGCAGCAGCAGGCAUCGGCGAACGCUGCUAAGUGUUGCUGCCCAGCUGCUUGACAUACUCUGCUGCAGCACUUAACGACCUAGCCGCUUUCCAAUUUUCUUACACUUUGCUCGCUUAUCGGAUCGUUCUCAAAUUUUAAUAUAUUUUUCGUAUCAUAUGAGACUAUUUUUGAAAAAUAUUAAACACCCAUUUCGGGUUUGAUAGGAAGCCAAAACAUUGCAGCAAAAGUGGACAUUCAUAACAAUUUUUAAUUUCGUUUCAGCUUUACCCUAUCUCGCUAAAACAGUCAUAACUUCUUCGUUUCAAAAUAUUUUUGAGCGAUUCUUGAGCCCACGCGAAUCUAACUUUCGGGAGUACAACUUUUAUUCUUUAACCAUUUUCAAAUUAUUUGAACAAAAUUCCAUAAAAUCCGUGCAAUGGGACUGCUCCAAAUUUGUUGGACAGAUUUGACGCAACUACUUUGCAAUGUCAUAACUCCUUACUCCAAAGUCGGAAUUAGUCCGUUCCAGAGUCUAUGGAAAGCUUAUUCAAUGUGCUAUAAUAUCUCAAAAGCCCAGAAUUUUCUGGAAAUAUAUACUAGAGCCGAAAUUUGCCUCAAUGUCAGCAGUCAUACUAGUUUUUCACUUUUCGUUUUGAUUUCAAAUUGCUUUUUGAUUUAACUUAGUAUGCUCAAUCUCUUUAAUUAUCUUCAUAUAUGAUAUACAUAUCUAACCCAAGCUUUGAUUUCGCUUAAAACUUGGUUUUUAAGCAAAACAGUUCAUAGUGGACUUGUAACGAACAUUUCAUAUGCGUUGUUUUGAAACACCAUUUCAAUAGUCAUUUGUUUGUGUUAUUAACCCAUUCAAGCCUCCUUAUAUCACCACACAACCAAGCCUAUCCCCUUGUUCCUAAUUCAGGCCUAACAAUCUCCUACACAAUCGAAUCGAUAUAUAGUCAACUAGUUACCAAACUAGUUAGUUUACACAUUCUUUUGAAAUUCAAUCUUUUUAAUUUCAACACAAAAUGAAAUAUUUUAAUCUCCUCUGCAUUAAAUGAACAUAACUAUAAUCAAUUAAUAGUAUUCAAAUACCAUACAUAACUUAACCAAUUCUUACUGCUAACAGAUUUAUUUAACACCAUGGAUGCAUAGUUUCAAAUUCCAGACUUCAUAAGCUUUUAGGCAUAGUCUAGCCAAAGAUUUUCCAUGAAAAUCCUCCCUUAUUACUUCAGAACUUAUACAAUAUUAUUACCCAACCAAUUCCACAACCAAACAUCACAAUUAUAGCGAUAAAUUGCAUUCUAUACUUUCAAUUUCUAUGAACUCCAUAAAACACAUGGCUUACCUCUCAAUUUGAAGUUUAAUUGAUGUAAUCCUUUGAAUUCUUGCUCCAAAUUCGUUCUUAAUUCCUUCUUGUAACAAUCCAUUGCUUCAAUUUCUUAAGAAUUUGGUGAUAAUUUGAGUACCAACCUUUAGAUUUCCCCUAGAUUUCAUUCCUUUACCCCUAGAUUUCAUUAUUUUACUCCAACCUUUAGAGAGAGGAAACGAAUGGAGAUGGGGAGAUAUGCUGAGUAUUGAAGUUUUUUUUUAAACUUCAUUAGCUUCUCUUCAUUAUCAGGUAAGUAAGUAGUGUCCCACGAUAACUUAGCAUAUGCCACCUCCUACUUAUUAGACCGUAAUGACUCAGCACAUAAGCAGUAACAUUUUAAUUGAAAUACUUUUUUUUGUACAACGAAUCACUUAAUUGAAAUAAUUAAUAUUUUAUUUAUUAAUUAUUCUAAAUCACUCAUUUAACUUAUACAGCUAAUUGUAUAAAGUUAAAUCUAAUUAUCUCAUUUCUUCCAUAAUUUGUUUCAAGACAAUUAUUUACACGUAGCAAACAUAUUUAAAUAUAUUCACCACAACAAAUACCUAUACACAUAUUACACCGCACACAAUUAAUAAAUACAGUAUAAUAUAUCACAUAAUAAAAUAAGAUAUUUAUUUUAUUAAAUUCUUAUUUUAUUUAUCUAAAAAACUUGGGUCACUACAUUCUUCGCCCUUAUAAGGAUUAUGUCCCCGUAAUCACAAUACCGAACCUUUCCUACUCGGUUUAAGUCUAUUUUUCCUUGAUCAUGCUAAUUUCCUCUUAGUAACCUUAUUCUGUAAUAGUGAAAUAUAUUAUUUUACACAUAUCAUAACAUACAUCACAUAUUAAAAUACAUAUAAACAUGUAUCUCCAAAUACUUAAUAGUUUCCGCUAUUUUAUACAUAAUCUUUUAUUAUUGUGAAAGGUCCUAAAAUUUCUGGACUUAAUCUUUCACCUUUGUCCCUCUUCAGAGUCUACCUUCUUUUGUCACUAUCAGUGUUUAUCCAUCUUUGACAUCACCUAUAUCUUAAUUUCGACAUCUCCUAUGCCUGUUCUUAUUAUCAUAACACCACCUGUGUUUUGUUUUAUUAUGACACAUCAUCGGUGUUACCAUAUUAUGACACAUCACCAGUGUCUAUUCUGUUAUGACAUAUCACCAAUGUCUACUUUGUUAUGCAAAAAAUCUUUAUUCCUCAUAACUCUACAUUUUUCCUUCCUUAAAGAUUCAUGUACCACUAUCGUAUUCUACGACCUACUUCAUUUUAAAGAAGUUCAUUCUUUCGAUACCUAACCUCCAUAAUAGAAAUUCCCCAUAAUUGAUUAAUAUUUUUGAAGCAAUAUGAAAAUUUCAUGAAUUCAAAGGAUUCGCUUAAGAAUAGCUAGCUUUCUGUAUCAUGAUAAAGGUCAUAAAGACCAUAAAAUUUGUUUCUGAAAAGGUUUCAACAGAAAUUCAUCUGCAAACCAACAUAUCUUACGGACAUAUAGGUAAUCACCUGUUUAUGCCCUGUGUUAACCCAUGUUCGAGAGCAUUUUACCGACCUCCAGGUGGGUCGAAGGCCUGACACUAGAAGGGGUUUAUGAGCUCAAUGAGCUGAAGCCCUCGGAGAUGCUGAAGGUGUUUGGGUUCGGUAUCCGAGUCCUUUGGGUCAGGGCCCUACUGUGGAGUAUGGUGUUUGAGGUUGGGUCUUCGAGUCCUUUGGGCCGAAGCUCAAACCAAAUGGUGGGUUCGGUUGGGUUGGGCCUGUAUAGUGGGCUAUCCUGCGUACAGAGUCUGGAGUCCUAACCAUAUUUGAAUACGGUAACUCCAAAGGCUAUGUUUGGAUUGGAUUCCACUUCCACCUUUUAAGGAGAUCGUGUUGGACCCAAAUUAUGGUAACUGCCAUGUUUAGGAGUCCUAAUCCGACGCGAAAAGGGAUUCUAAGGUACGAGAACACUAUAAAUACAAGGCUUGAGUUUCAAUCAAGAGGUAAUACUUUCUUUGAGCACUAAAUACUAAAGCCUCCAUUGUUAAACCUUGUGAACGGCCUGUACUUAUUCUCACACUGGAGCUAUCCCCCAGCGGCACAAGCCGUCAAGCUUCGUGUGUGAUUUGUUAUUAUUCAGGUUUAAGCGCGUGGAUUCUGUGAUUGGACGCGCCGGCGAAACUUGGCGUUAACAUUGGUGCUAGAAGAAGGGCUUUUGGUGCUUUCUGCAAUCACAGUGAAUUUUUCUGGUUAAAGGGCAUGGCGAGCAGGGAUACAGUUGCUUCUAACCAGGAAAAGGAAAAAACACACCAGACCACCAAGGUGAGAGGGUCGGUCGAAGACAGACUGGGUUCCAGAAUUUAUGGGGAUCAGGAGGAACCGGCCCCUUCCCUCCGGCGUAAACUCUUCCAUGACAGCCAACACACGCCCAAUCAAGUCAGUCAGGCUGAUGAAAAUCACUCUCGGGCACAUGAGGGACAAGGGAGAGACCGAGGAAAAGGCAACAGAGACCAGAGGGAGUUCAUUCUUAAGAAGAAGAUGCAGCAAAAUAAAGACGCCAUGAUGGCCUUGUGUCUUCAGCAAGAAGAGCUUGAGGAACAAAUGGCGAAAAUGACUGGAGAGCAGGAAGCAUCCUCGAAAAGGCGUCGGCAUUGGAGCCGAUCCCGGUCACCCCGUACGGGAGAGGUGGACAGAGAAAAUAGUAGGCCCAGAAGCCGCUCCCAAGAUGGUAGAGGUCGAAGAAGAAGCCGUUCAGUAGAUCGGAGAUCGGAACAUCCGGGCAGAUCGGGACAAAGGAGGAGGGACGCAUCUCCUGAAUAUGAGAGGGACUGACCCAGAUCGUCCCCUCAUAAAGAGGAGUCCGACCCCCUUGCUCGAAGGGUGGAAGAGUUGGAGAAAUUGCUGGCGGCAAAGAGUUCGAUGGGAACGCCUUCGGCUUGUAUAGGAUCGCCCUUUUCACCUUAGAUAAAUCAUGUCACCGCCGACCCUAAGAAGAAGAUGCCCCCGAUGGAGACAUAUAAUGGGCUGGGAGACCCCUAUGAUCAUUCAGACGGGUAUGACAGGUUGAUGACCUACUAUCGACAUUCAAACGCUGCUAAGUGCCACAUAUUUGCAACAACCUUGAAGAAGAGUGCCCGGGAAUGGAUGGGGACCUUAGCAGCUGGAUCAAUUAAUUCUUGGAGUGACCUUCGGGAGAAGUUUCAUGCUCGGUUCGGGAGUAACAGAAGACGAGGAAAGAUUACUACUUCCCUCAUGCAGGUUCGGCAGAAGGCGAAUGAAAGCCUAGGCCAGUACGUCAAGAGAUUUCGGGAGGCUAUGGGUUCGGUAGCAGAGUUGAACUCUCCACAGGCCUUGGGAUUUUUCACAAUUGGUCUGGAUAUUGGGAAGUCGAAGAAACUGAUGAAGGAUCUGGUGAUUAACCCUCCGGCGAAUUUUACAGAAGCUUUCCAUAGAGCCAAGGGAUUCAUAGAGAUUGAGGAGGCUAUGGGAAACUUCAAACCGCACUCCCAAUCUUGUGAGAAGUCUAGAGAUCGGGACAAGCAGACUUAUCAGCGCUCAAACAAUCAGGGGAGGUCGGAUAGCUCUAGAAGAAAAAACUAUAGCGGUGGAGGUUCGGGCAGUGGCCGACCACCCUUCCCGAACAGAAAUAUCAACAAAGUCUACACCGCCCUCAACACAGAUCGGGUGAAGAUAUUGGAGGAGAUGCGGAACAAACCAUUUUUUGAGCUAUGCUCAACACACUCGAAGCCUGACAAGAGAGGGCAGGACAAAUACUGUGAAUACCAUCAAAGUCGUGGGCAUACGACGGAGAUGUGUAAUGAUCUGAAGGAUUUGAUAGAGAAGAAUGUUCAGAAUGUACAGUUAGUAUAGUAUGUUGUUGGUCAGGAAGGUUCAGAGGUGCCUCAAGAGGAAAAUAGAGGGCCGACUCGUGAAACACAGUCGAAACCGAACCCGCAACCCCGAGGUGUGAUUGAUGUAAUUUCGGGCUGUUCGGUAGGACGUGUAACUUGGAAGAAGAGAAGUGGACACCUCGAGGCCAUGUUAUCGGUAGCAGGUUCCUCGCCAAGGAAAGAUCGGGCCUACCCGGGGGUAUCCAUCUCGUUCUCAGAUGAGGAUUAUCCAACAGAUCUAAUAGAACCACACGAUGGGGCAUUGGUAAUAACAGCACUGGUCAGGCCAGUGGACAUGAAGAGGAUGAUGAUCGAUAAUGGGUCCUCAGUCGACAUAUUGUACACACACGCUUAUCAAAAGAUGGAUCUGGAAGGAAAAAAGAUGGAGUUGGGUGGAGAAAGCCCGUUGUAUGGUUUCAGUGGGGACCCGGUUUACGUGUCAAGCACCAUCGAAUUGCCCGUCAGGUUCAGCGGAGAUAAUGGUCAGAUUCUUUGUGGUACAGGUGGAUUCGGCGUACAACGCUAUAUUGGGAAGGCCGACACUAGCAGUACUGCAGGCUGUUAUGUCCAUCCCCCAUUUUAAAAUCAAGUUUCCAACACCAAACGGGAUAAGGGAGGUAAAAGGGGAUCUUGAUAUUGCCCGAAGGUGCUAUCGGAACACAUUAAUCUCAUCGGGGGUAGGGGUCAGCAAGUAAAAAUAGACAAUGGCCAUCUAAAUAGAUCCAUUCACUAAGAGCAGCACAGAACCAAUGGCCCUUCCAGCCGAAGAGACUGAAGAUAUAGAGUUGGUCCCAGGCAAUAUAGAGAAGUUGAUCUAGAUUGGGUCGGGACUAACAGAACCACUACGGAAAGGACUGGUAGAUCUGCUUUGGGUAUAUGCCGACAUCUUUUCCUGGGAGCCUAGCGAUAUGCCUGGGGUAAGCGAGUCAGUGGCCUUACACAAUCUUCAUGUAAACCCGAAGAGAAAACCAGUGAUACAGAAAAGAAGGAUUUUUGCCCCAGAAAGGCAGACGAUCAUAGAUGAGGAAAUCGCCAAACUGCUGGAGGUAUGAUUUAUUUUUGAGAUCGACUACCCCGAAUGGUUGGCUAAUGUGGUAUUGGUUCAGAAACUGUAUGGGAAGUGGAGGUUAUGCAUCGAUUACACAGAUUUGAACAAAGCAUGGCCAAAAGAUUUCUAUCAUUCGCCCAACAUAGACCAAUUGAUUGAUUCCACUUCGGGGUACGGUAUGUUAAGUUUCAUGGAUGUCUUCUCAGGAUACCACCAGAUUUUGAUGAGCAAGGAGGACAUCCCGAAGACCAGUUUCAUGACUCAUUGGGCCAUCUAUGCAUAUCGAAAGAUGACCUUCGGAUUGUUAAAUGUUGGGCAACAUACCAGCGAAUGAUGAACUUCUUAUUCAGAAAGCAGCUAGGCCGACGCAUGGAAGUGUAUGUGGACGAUAUGAUUGUGAAAAGUAUAUCAGUCCGGGAUCAUCUGGAGGACCUAGAAAGCUGGUUCGAAACAGUAAGAAGACACAAGCUAAGACUGAACCCGACUAAAUGUACCUUCGGAUUGGGGUCAAGAAAUUUUAUGGGAUAUCUAAUCAGUAAGAGAGGUAUUGAAGAGAAUUCGGAGAAGAUUCAGGUGAUCUUAGACAUGAAAUCUCCAAAGACAUACAAAGAUGUGCAGAGGUUGAUGGACCGGAUAGGUGCCCUUCGGAGAUUUGUGUCGAGAUCAACCGAAAGAUGUUUACCCUUCUUUGACACUCUCAAGGGUCCGAAGAAUGAGAAGAGUUUCUAGUGGACCUCAGAGUACGAAGACGCGUUCCAAGGGAUCAAGAAAUACUUAUCUUCGGCACCUUUAUUGAUGAAGUCGGUCCCCUUCAGAACCUUUGUAUCUAUACUUGGCUGCAAGCUCGAUGGUCGUGGGAGCAGCACUGGUCAGGGAUAAUGGGGGAAGAUAGUUCUCGGUGUACCACGUCAGCCACGUUCUUCGGGAUGCAGAGAUAAGAUACCCAAACUUGGAAAAAUUUGCCUAUGCUUUGACUAUUGCGAGUAGAAAGUGCUUCAUUAUUUCCAAGGUCGGUUGGUAGUGGUAUAUACAGAUCAGCCAUUAAAGAAAGUGUUGCAUAAGCUAGAAGUGUCGGGUUGGUUGGCCGUGUGAGUGAUGGAAUUAACACAAUUUGCUAUAGAAUACCAUCCCCAAACAACAAUUAAAGGACAUGCAUUGGCAGACUUCAUAGUACAAUGUUCUUUCACCGAACCAGACAUGAAUACAAUUAUCGAAGCUCAGUAGGUGCCAACUUCAUGGACUUUGUAUGUGGAUGGGUCAUCAACUUCGGACAUCAGUGGAGCAGGAGUUAUUCUGACAAGUCCCGAAGGGUUUAAAGUUCAGCAAGCCAUCCGGUUCCAGUUCAAAGCUACAAACAACGAAGCAGAAUAUGAAGUCAUUCUAGCUGGACUUCGGUUGGCCCGAAGCUUAGAAGUAUAGAAACUAGUCAUCUACAGCGAUUCCCAACUGGUGGUCAAACAGAUAUUGGGGGAGUAUGAGGCUCGGGGGGCAAGAAUGUCAAAAUAUCUAGCCGAAGUGAAAGAUAAACUCAUGUACUUCAACACACAUAGUUGUCAAGGGAUCGAUCGGGCAGACAAUUCGGUAGCAGAUGCUCUGGACAAACUGGAAACUACUGAAGCUAGUUCAUUUAACAGGUCAGUAUACUUAGAGUUGUUGGAGCAACCAAGCGUACUGAAGGCGGAGGUGAUGGCCCUGGACCGGCUCGAUUACUGGCUCACACCUUAUAUCUCGUAUAUGGCGGAUGGGGUUCUACCUUCGGAUCGAAUACUAGCUAGGAAGAUUAAGCACAGAAGCUCAAAUUUAUUCUUAUCGAUGGGGAUCUAUAUCGAAGGGCUUUUAGUUCUCCACUGCUCAAAUGCCUAACACCCUCAGAAGCAGAUUAUACACUUCGGGAGGUGCAUAAAGGAAUUUGUGGAGAUCACUUGGGGGCUAAGUCAUUGGCAUAUAAGAUUAUAAGGCAGGGAUACUAUUGGCCAACCAUCUACCAGGAAGCCAAAGAUUUCGUCAAAGAGUGUCCAAAAUGCCAGCUGAACAUCACCAUCCCUCAUCAGCCUCCCAAAGAAUUAUUUUCGGUCUUUUCCUCGAUUCCAUUUGUCAUAUAGGGAAUUGACAUCCUGGGGCCUCUGCUGAAGGCCAAGGGACAAGUCAGUUUUGUGAUCGCGGCCAUCGACUACAUGACGAAGUAGGUUGAAGCUAAACCUCUGCAGAAGAUCACCGAACAAGAAUGUUUGAAGUUUUUUAAGGAGGGCGUUGUUUAUCAUUUCGGUAUCCCGAUGGUAGUGGUUUCGGACAAUGGCAGGCAAUUUGUAGGGUCAAAAUUUGAAGCUUUUCUGAAAGAAUUGGGGAUUCAGCACCAAAAGACUUUAGUUGCCCACCCUUAGUCAAACGGCCAAGUAGAAGUUACUAACCGAACCCUGCUUAACAGAAUCAAAAGAUGACUUGACGAACAAAAGGGUCGGUGGCCAGAGGAAUUACUCAGUAUUUUGUGGGCUUAUCGGACUACUCCAAGAACAACAACUGGGGAUUCACCGUUUCGAUUGGCAUAUGGGACCGAUGCACUCAUACCUGUUGAGAUCGGAUCUCCUACCCUUCGGGUCAGCCAAUAUAAGGAGUUGUACAACGACCAGGGACUACGAUUUAAUCAAGAUCUUUUGGAAGAGGUUAGGGACUCAGCUCUGAUAAGGUUAGUAAUUUACCAAAAGAAAACAGCCCGACACUACAAUCAGAAGGUGAAGCAGAGGAGAUUUGAAGUUAGAGACUUAGUCCUUCGGGAGUCGGAGGCAUCAACCCCCUAGAACACCGGCAAGCUGAUGCCUAAGUGGAAGGGACCCUAUGAAGUGGUAGAAGUGCCGAAGCCAGUUACAUAUCGGCUUCGAGCAAUGGAUGGUUCUAAAGUGAAGAAUACAUGGCAUGCUGGAAGAGUUAGAAAAUUUUGCCAGUAAAAGUUAUGUCAUUCUUUUCUUUGUUUGUGUAAUCAUUUUUUUUAUCAAUGAAAUAAAUGAGAUUUUUCUUCGGAAAUGUUUAUACUUCAUUUAUAUUCAUAAAAUUUUAUAUACCCAAUCAGAUAAACUUCAAACUCAAGCCGGUCAGAAAGUUUGAAAUGAUGGAACUGAUCGGCAAAAGUAUCGGGUACAACUGAUCGGGAUAACCACCAAUCGAAUCAGAUAAGCUUCGGACUUAAACCGAUCAGAAAGUUAAAAAUGACAUAACUAAUCGAUAAAAGUCAUGGGUAUAACUAAUCGAGAAAAUUGAAAUUGUUCAUCAGACGAACUUUGAGCACAACACGAUCAGAAAGUUCAAAACAACAUAACUGAUCGAGAAAAGUCGCGAGUAUAACUGAUCGAAAAAAUUUACAAACAAAAAUUUUGUACUUCAUUUAUAUCUUCAAAUUUUUACAAGACCCGAUCGUAUAAGACGGGCAAAGUACAAAUAAAGAGAAAAAAAAUGAAGAUUACAAAAAUUACAAGUCCUAAUAGAAGCUAUUCCGGAGGAGGCUCAUCCCCAGUCUCGGAAUCUUCGUCCGAAGAGUCAAGGACAGAAGCAUUGAGUCCAACAACAGUCAAUUUUGCCCGAGCCUUUUCCCGAUAGGUUUCAUAGCCUUCAGCGAACUGAGCCAUAUUUUUCUUGGUCAAGGCAGGGGAUUCUUCAUAUUCUUCGAUUGUGCGUUGCUUGGCCUCGGCACUUCAUCCUUCAAGGCAUUGGUUUCCCGGAUCAAGUGCAUCAGCUUACUGUGCACCCUGUCAAACUUCUCCUCAAGGGCAUGAAGCGCCUACAACCAUUCAUUGCUCUCUCCAGACAGAUGAUCUCUCUCCUAAAGAAGUCUCUUGGCAUAACCUUUGAGACCGACGAACUCCUGCUAAAGUAACAAAUAUUGUUCCUUGAGCUUAUCGGCCUGACGAUCAGCCCUGGCCGCCUUAUUCCGGGUCUCAGCAUGGAGAUCUCUUUCUUUCUUCAAGUCUAAGUUCAGACCUUGAACCUCAGCCUUGAGAAGUAGCACGUCCGACCUCAGCUGAACUUCCUUUUUGGUCGUUCAGGCAAGAGGUGAAAUGGCUCGGGCGAGGACGGCGUUGGCCUACAGCAAAAAGGGCAUAUCAGCUUUGAAGAAUAAAGCAUGACAAUAACAGAAGAGGUUAACCAAUUUGAGAAUUACUUGACAAUGGGCAUGAACAUAGGCGACAAGAUACUCUUUGGAAGAGAAUCCCUUAAAACGUUCGUCAUCACCGGGAAGUUUGAAAUGAUCGAACAGCUGGAAGGGAAACACUUCCGAAGGGCUCUUCGACCAACAAGUAGUCGGCGUCCCCUGGGAAGAGCUGGCCUUAGAUGUGGGGGUCAAUGUAGGAGGAAGGUCAGUGUCCACAACUCGCAGUUCGGGACCCUCAGCCAAACGUGGUUUCUUGGUUUGAGGUUCGAGAGGAACCUCCUCGGUGUCCUCUGAAUCUUCGAUCGUCGCCACUUGUGUAGGGGAUGGAGGAGUUGGUUUCAGCGUGGCUGAAGAAGAGACCUUGUGGGGGGCUUUGAUGGAAGGUUUGACGGAAGGCCUCUUCGUCUUCUUCAACAAGGCCAUCUUCUCAGCCCGGUUCAUCUUCAAUACAUUUUUGCUUCCGAGUUCGGCGACGGAGGUGUUCGGAGGGGUAGGACCUGAAGUAGAACCAUUCGAGAGUUCUACAAUUGGGAUGGUUUCCCCUUCGACCGUAUCAUCAGUAAUAGGAAGCCGGAUUAGCUUGGCCUUAAUUGGUAGGGGUGUUAAAGACUCGUCGGCCCCCUCGAGUUUGAAGAUUGUCAUUGCACAAAAGAAAACGAGUCAGAAAAAUGGAUAAAGAUAAAAGAGUUGUGGAGAAGCUUGGAACAUGAUACUUACACCCGUGUUUGUACAACUAGGUAUCGGUGGACAAAACCCCCAGAUUCUAUUCGGUCUUACUCCACUUCUUGUAGAACUCUUUGAAAGCACCAGCCCGAUCCUUCAGAAAUUUUGACACCUUAGCGAUAGGAUCUUCGGGAUGGGCCCAGUUCGGGAGAAGUUUGAGGUCGGUCCCUUUCACAAAGAUCCAUUAGGGGUGCCACCCUUUGUUGCUCGAAGGGGUCCUGAUGAGGAUGGUUCAGUUGGCUUGUUUGUUUAAUUGACGAAGGUCGGGUUCCUUUAACCGAGCAACGGUGAAUAAGGCAAAAAAGAAAUCAAGGUCAAGAGUAAUCCCGAUCUCCUGGCACAGGGCGAUGAAAGAAAUCAGGUGGAUGUACGAGUUCGGCACAAAUUGUGCGAACCCGAUCCCGACAAAGCAGAGAAAAGAUGAGAUAAAUUUGUGGAGUGGAAACCGAACCCCAUACUUUAAAAGGUAUAGGGGUACGACAACCCACUCACCCUCGGGUCUCCAGAAUAUUCUCUCCUCAAAGUUGGGUACCCGAAGCUUAUACUACUUCGGUAUGUUAAACAGUUCACGGAUGUCUGAGAUCUAGGAGGGGUGGACAGUCGAUGGGGUGUUGAUAUAUGAGAAGUCAGCCUCAGAAGCAUAAACACUUCAAAUUUUGGCCUCGAUGUUGUCUGUGGAGAUAACGGUAGGGGCUACCAGAAGAUCAACCAGAACUAGGUCGCUGGUAGUGACUGUGGGUGGAAUUGAUUCAAUGAAAGGAGGAAUGUUGGAAUCAACCAGUUAAAGUGAAUGAGGGGUGAAUGGGGGGACCCCCCCAGCAAAAGGAAGCAGAAAUAGGGGGAUUGGAAGAGAAUUUAGGUACCAAAAAAAGCUUGAAUCAAAGAAUUUCUUACAAGCUGGUCGCUCGCCGGAAAUUGCCUUCGUCGGGAAACUUAAAAGAGAAAUUUGAAAUGAGGAAGGUCUAAAAAGGGUGACAGUGAUGGCUGGGUUGGUGGUUUUAUAAGUGAAGCUACACGAGACCCAAUGGCAGCUAUUUAUGGCAGGUGGGGUCUGGUCCUGGGGAAGCGUUUGGCGUUUCAAAAAAUAAAGAGAAACCGUUUGGGUUCCCCAGGAAACUCAUCAUUUGCUGUCGUGACCAUUUGAAUUCAUGUCUUUUUAAGUCUCUAAUUAUAAAUAAAUUAUAACAAGAGACUGGGGGGCAAUGUUUUGGAGCAUUUUACCGAUCUCCAGGUGGGGUCGAAGGCCUGACACUAGAAGGGGUUUAUGAGCCCAAUGGGCCGAAGCCCUCAAAGAUGCUGAAGGUGUUCGGGUUCGGUAUCCGAGUCCUUUGGGCCGGGGCCCAACUGUGGAGUAUGGUGUUCGGGGUUGGGUCUUCGAGUCCUUUGGGACGAAGCUCAGACCAGAUGUUGGGUUGGGCCUGUAUAGUGGGCUAUCUUGCAUACGGAGUCCUAACCAUAUUUGAAUACGGUAACUCUAAAGGUAGUGUUUGGAUUGUAUUCCACUUUCUCCUUUUAAGGAGAUUGUGUUGGACCCAAAUUAAGGUAACUACCAUGUUUAGGAGUCCUAAUCCGACGCGGAAAGGGAUUCUAAGGUACGAGAACACUAUAAAUACAAGGCUUGAGUUUCAAUCAAGAGGUAAUACUUUCUUUGAGCACUAAAUACUAAAGCCUCCAUUGUUAAAUCUUGUGAACGGCCUGUACUUAUUCUCACACCGGAGCUAUCCGCUGGCGGCACAAGCCGUCAAGCUUCGUGUGUGAUAUGUUGUUGUGUAGGUUCAAGCGCAUGGAUUCUAUGAUUGGACGUGCUGGUGAAACUUGGCGUUAACAACCCAUAAUAUAUAUGCUGCUAUUUUGCGCAAACAAAAUUUCCUAUUUUGGAUUUCCUGUGUUGGUUAACACUUAUCUAGUCGGAACAAUUUAUUUCAGUUCCUCUUUGUCGUCCCCAGGAUGCAAUAUAAAUCUGAAUGACAUUUGCGUUCAUCAUCUGUCUUUGGCACAUAGAAUAUCUUUUUCCCAAUUUAGGGAUGUUCAUAUCCAAUCUGGAGUCCAUACUCAAUUAAUUUAGUUGGACAGUUCAAAAGCUUAAUAUAAGCAAUAUCUGAAUCUGUGUCUAGCUGACUCAAAUGGCAUUUGACACCUCUUUAAUUACUAAAAUACUGAAAAUUAUUUUAUGACGCAUAGUACCGUAUUAUUUAUAACAGUACGUUGAGAAUGUCAUCAUUUUAGAAAACCGAAGAUUCAUACUUUUAUUCCAACAAUUUAUUAAAGUUCUAUGAUUAAUCAACCCAUUCAAACCGAGAAUUACUUCAAAUUCUCUUAACAUUAUCGGUGCUUAUCUAUCAACACUUGCUUACCAUUAUUAUCCAUGAAACCAUUUCCACGAAUAUAAUCAACAAAAGUUAUUCCCUCCUCCUCUAUCGUAAUGUUUAAAGGUACUUAUAAUCCCUUUCAGACAGACUCCUAGAUGAGUCUUUUCACAUGUCUUACAUACUUCGAUCUUAUGCUUAGGAUCCCCUUGUCCCACUCUAGUAUUCCCGAAGUUAAAAUUCUUUCUUUUUGGCACACUGCCACUGGCAUUCUCUGCCUUGGUUCCUCCCUUUCCCUUGCUCUUAUUCUUUCUCUCUUUGUGGUAUUGGGUUAAUGCCUCACUACCACCCUUCACUAUAAUCGGUUUCUCCAGAAUGAUCCCACAGGAAACACUCUGGAACACCGAAAUCCUAUUAUAGAGCCAGGGUUUCAGGCCCUGCUCAAUCCUACUAGCCUUCCUCUCCUCAGUGUCCACUUGAUGUGGAGAAAACUUUGCCAAUUCAUUGAAUCUGGCCGCGUAUUGGGGAAUCGUCGUGUCCCCUAGUUUAAGUUCUAAGAACGUAAUCUCCAUCCCCCCUUACAUGCUUGUAGGGAAAUAAUUCUCGAAGAAAACCUUCUUAAACUGUUCCCACGUUACCCCAUCUGUUCUAGCCCCACCCUGGUGAGCCUCCCACCAAAAGUUGGCUUCCACUUUCAUCAUUUUAUGUUUAUAACAUAAUAUUGUGACUGUAGGACGAUUUCAAUAAAUUUUGAAAUAUAGCAUAGCUAGAAGAUUUGAGAAUAUCCAUUUUCUUCUUCACCCAUUUCAACUGUUUCCAAAACUUCACUAUACAAUUAUGUUCAUCUCUAACACAACAAUCAGUUCUAAACACAUACCCUGGGACAGUUCAUUAAACUUACCACACAUUAUGUGUUUAGGAACUUGCCAUAAAAAUAUGAGUUUAGGAACUUGUCCUAGCAAUACAUAGUCCAAAAACUAAUCAGGGACUAUCCAUACGCUUAGGGGCUCAAAAACAUACCAGAUGAUUAUGAGUCACAAACUUAUCAUAAGCAUAAAUUUUAAGAACUCGCACCUAGUCCUAUAUUUUCUAUUAUUAGGUAUAAAUAUGAGAAAAGAAUCACCUUCUCACCAUACGUAUACCGAUAGAGCAACACCAACAUUUCAACGAUUAUCAAUGAGAUAAACUAAGUAGUCGUUAAAUCAAGCACAAAACCUCAGCCCAUACAAAGGUUUGUAUAACUCAGCUAUCACAUGACUCCUCAAUUGAAAUCCCACUUAAACCCAUUAAAUCUUAUCUUGUUCUUUCCUCAAUACAAAUUAUAUUUAUUUUGUAUUUCAUCAUUCAUAACGCUUUCUGAGUUUUAUUCUUGUACUAUUUCAUUGUACCAUUUCUAUAUAGCCAUUCUGCUAUAAAUUUUUAAUCAUUCGAUUGAUUACGUGUCCUUCUUUGUCUUGAUAAGAUCACGUCGUGAUCUUAUCUUAUAAUCGUGUUAUAUUAAGAUUCUUUCUCAUUCUAUGAUGGUUUCAUUUUUACGAUCUUCUUAUCUUCUUUCCAAUCAUAUUGUUUUAUGAUUAUUUGAAUCAUGUGUCCAUUGAUCCUUACACUUCUUGCCUUUUAAGAUUCUUUUUUAAAUCUUUGUGUAUUAUAUUAAUGCAUUCUCUAUGAAUUUUUAAAUUCAUUUUAAGAUCAUAUAAACAUCAUUUGAGUUUGUGCUUAAUAUCUUCUUUCUUUUCAUCUACCUUCUUUACGGUUAUAGCCUAGGGUACGUUUACCUAAGGUUUAUAACCUAUGACUUUGAUACCAAAUGUAACUCCCCCCAAAAUCGAGACCAAAUUAAUCUAAAAUCAGGACUAACUUAAUCUCGACUUUGUGUGUUAGCAACACUCUUGUUUUAGCUUUAAAACAUUAUUUAAUGUUAAAAUUGCAUUUUUUCCACUCUAUUAAUUCAUUCCCUAAAUCGCAACCUUUACCAUUUUUCGUUAAACUAAAAUCAUAUCCAUUUUAUAAUUUAAUUAAUCUGAGUAAAUGUAUUAAGAGCUUUCAAGUCUCAAGUCUCAAUACUUAAUAUCUUUCUUAUAUAGUAAUGUCAUUAUAUUACUUUAUUUUUAUAAAGUAUUCAUUACACACAUCCAGAAUAAGUAUUCUUUAUUGAAUAUUUUAAAUUAUACAUAACUGUCAGUUACCUAUAACAAAACCAUUAAUCAUAGCUUUAUACAAUUUCUAAUUCAAGAAAAUGUAUUCAUUUCGUACAUCAUUCAUCCUUCAUCAUCCGCAUAGAAAAUAAUAUUGCAUAACGUCAUUAACGUGAAAAAGUUUGUGUUUGCAAGAUUGAGCUCGACAGCCCAACAAAUUUAACAGUCUAUCACGCUUCACAUACCACACAAUUUUAUAUCCAUCACAUGCAACAUACUUUCUUUGCUAUGCAUAUCCUACAUGCAUCAAUAAUUCCGUGCAAUGCAUAUAUUCAUGCAUUAUACAUUCCUAAUUAUCGAGUUAAAUCAUACAACAUGUGUUAGCACAUAUCACAUAUAAAUUGAGUUCCAUACCCAAUUAACUUAGUCAUAUUUCGACUUUAACAAUUCAAAGAGCAUGAUAUGUAAUUUAGAACAUAACAACAUUAAAUCCACAAACAUAACAGAAUUGAAAAACUUGCCUUUGUUGGAGAUUACAGCUAAAAUUUAACUUAGAGUUUCUCCACAAUUGCUACAGAAUUAUAUUUACAUGCAAAGAGAUAUUAGAUAAUUAAAUAUGUUACAAAACAUGCAUGUAUAUUCAUCAUUAAUAAUUAUUAGUUUAUAAAAACCAAUAUUAUUUACUCUUACUCCAAAACCAAUAUUGGUUUAAUCAGAAACUCCAUUCAUUUUAAUCUUUCAAUGCCAAAUAAGGCCUUUCACACUUUUAAUGUGUAAAAAUUUCACAUCUAAAGCUUAAAUCAUUUAUAUUCCACUUUAGGAAUAUUUUAUGUUCUUACUUGCUAAUUCGGGACUUAAACAACUAAUAUAUAGCUUUUAUAGUAAAACUCAAUUUACUAUAUUAUUAUUUCUUUAAUAUAAAUAUUUCUUAUAUUAUUUUUUCUGCUCAUGAGUCAACUCGGCUUAUUGUCUCAUUUAUAAAUAUUUUAUCCCGCUAACACACUUACUGCAUUUUUCGUUUUGCAAAUAUUCACAUUUUCACUAUAUAUUUAUAUAUUAAAUAUGUAUAAAUCUUGUCUCAAAAACUCCAUUUUGAUCCCCACAAAUCUUCAUUACAUCACUUUUAUGAUUAUUACAACUUUUUAAUGUUUCCAUAUUUUUCGUUUUGUUAUAAAACCAUUUUUCAUGUCAAUUCCGGCUUACAUUCUCUUAAAUAUGCAAAUUCACAUUUAUAUAAUAUUUUUAUUGCAUUAUUUAUGCCCGAAAGAAAUUUUCAUGACAUAAAAUAUCACAUAUAGUCAAAUCUCUUCUCUUGGAACUUUAUUAGAUCUAAUAUUGUCUAAAAUUUAGCCCAAACACACUUUAAAACAACGUAUGUCAAAAAAACCCAUCAUGAUUACAUUCGGCGUUGCCUAAAUUAUAGUUCUGACAUGUAUGUUCGCUUAUUUUUAAUUCUCAACCCAUAAAAGUCAUAUAACAACGAAUUUUUGUUAAGUUAUAGACCUCAUGGAAUAGUAUUUUUUUUUUAAAUCUAACCACGCAAACAAAUCAAGAAAACUACUCAAAACAGACCAUACAAAUCAUGCCGCGUAACAGCACUGCAGCGCCAGCAGCAGCAGGCAUUGGCGAACGCUGAGCGCUGCCAAACGUUGCUGCCCAACUGCUUAUCAUACUCUGCUGCAGCCCUUAACGACCUAGCCACUAUGUAAUUUUUUUACGCUUUGCUCACUUAUCGAUCUUUCUCAAAUUUUAAUAUGUUUUUCUUAUCAUAUGAGACUAUUUUUGAAAAAUAUUAAACACCCAUUCUGGGUUCGAUAGGCGGCCCAAACAUUGUGCCAAAAGUGGACGUUUAUAACAAUUUUAAAUUUUGUUUCAGCUUUACCCUCUCUCGCUAAAAUAGUCAUAACUUCUUCGUUUCAAAAUAUUUUGGAGCGAUUCUUGAGCCCACGUGAAUCUAACUUCCGGGACUACAACUUUUAUUCUUUGACCAUUUUCAAACUAUUAGCACCAAAUUCCAGAAAAUCUGUGCAAGGGGACUGCUUUGAAUUUGUUGGACAGAUUUGGCGCAACUACUUUGAAAUGUCAUAACUCCUUGCUCUAAAGUCGGAAUUAGUUUGUUCUAAAGUCUAUGUAAAGCUUAUUCAGUGUACUAUAAUAUCCCAAAAGCCCAGAAGUUUCUGGAAAUAUAUACUAGACCCAAAAUUGGCCUCAAAGUCAGCGGUCAUACUAGUUUUUCACUUUUUGUUUUGAUUUCCAAUUGCUUUUCUCUUUAACUUAGUAUGGUCAAUUAUUUUUAAUUAUCUUCAUAUAUGAUAUACAUAUCUAACCCAAGCUUUGAUUUUUCUUAAAACAUGGUUUUUAACCAAAACAGUUCAUAGUGGACAUAUAUCGAACAUUUUAUAUGCCCUGUUUUGGAACACCAUUUCCAUAGCCAUUUGUUUGUGUUAUUAACCCAUUAAAGCCUCCUUAUAUCACCGCACAACCAAGCCUAUGCCCUUGUUCCUAAUUCAGGCCUAAAAAUCUUCUACACAAUAGAAUUGAUAUAUAGUCAGAUAGUUUGGUUACCAAACUAGUUAGUUUACACAUUCUUUUGAAAUUCAAUCUUUUUAAUUUCAACACAAAAUUAAAUAUUUCAAUCUCCUCUGUAUUAAAUCAACAUAACUAUAAUCAAUUAAUAGUAUUUCAAAUACCAUACAUAACUUAACCAAUUCCUACUGCUAACAGAUUUAUUUAACACCAUGGAUGCAUAGUUUCAAAUUCCAGACUUCAUAAGCUUUUAGGCAUAGUCUAGCCAAAGAUUUUCCAUGAAAAUCCUCCCUUAUUACUUUAGAACUUAUACAAUAUUAUUACCCAACCAAUUCCACAAUCAAACAUCACAAUUAUAGCAAUAAAUAGUAUUAUAUACUUUCAAUUUCUAUGAACUCCAUAAAACACAUGGCUUACCCCUCAAUUUGAAGUUUAAUUGAUAUGAUCCUUUGAAUUCUUGCUCCAAAUUCGUUCUUAAUUCCUUCUUGUAACAAUCCAUUGCUUCAGUUCCUUCUCAAUUUCAGUUACUAGCUUCAAUUUCUUAAGAAUUUGGUGAUAAUUUGAGGGUAUAGGAAUAUGGUGACUCCAACCUUUAGAGAGAAGAAACGAAUGGAGUUGGGGAGGCAUAUAAUAAAUACAUUAAAC
rnacentral:lncRNA from 1 species